UACGUAGGGGGCAAGCGUUGUCCGGAUUUAUUGGGCGUAAAGAGCGUGUAGGCGGCCAGGUAGGUCCGUUGUGAAAACUCGAGGCUCAACCUCGAGACGUCGGCGGAAACCCUCUGGCUAGAGUCCGGAAGAGGCGAGUGGAACUCCUGGUGUAGCGGUGGAAUGCGCAGAUAUCAGGAAGAACACCAACGGCGAAGGCAGCUCGCUGGGACGGUACUGACGCUGAGACGCGAAAGCGUGGGGAGCGAACAGG
rnacentral:rRNA from 1 species